CUUUUAAACCUGUCCUGUUUCCCAGAGAAUCUGGGCUAAGGAUGUUUUUUGAGCCAGAUGAGCUAGUCCUUUGGGAAUGGUGACUGACCUGUGCUUGGCGGGCAGAGAACCUUUGUCGGGACUAACUUUGGGUCAGCCCCUUCUCAGCAUUAGUAGUCCAUUUCCCCUGCUUUCUAGUAGAACUCAAUACUUGGCUUUUUCCUGUGUUUCCUCUCCCAGAACUAUCUUGCUGGCUGAAAGCAGAGUAAAGUGGGCAUUUUCCUCCAUCUCUCUCUUCUCUAGUAGGGGAAGCUCAGGCUGACUCUCUGUUUCUUUUCCCUUCCCAGAAUCAUUGCGAUGAUGAGUCCAGAGGACAGCUGGGUCUCCAAGUGGCAGCGAGUCAGUAACUUUAAGCCGGGUGUUUAUGCAGUGUCAGUCACUGGUCGCCUUCCCCAAGGAAUCGUGCGAGAGCUGAAAAGUCGAGGAGUGGCCUACAAAUCCAGAGACACAGCUAUAAAGACCUAGCAAGAUGCGUGGCUGCCAUUGUCUUUCCUCCCCACCUCCUGCAUCUGCUAAUUUUUUGUUACGGAACUAAAUGGACAGAACUUCAGAUACUCCCCACCCUCCAACUCUGAGACUCAGCGGACUGUUGAGAGACCACAGCGUGUCUCUGAGCCAUUUUACCUUUGGAUUGCUGCUGGGGCUGGGGCUGGGGGUGGGGGGUUUGGGCUGGUGGAUUAACAGAGACUGAAUUGAAUGGGGGGUAGGAGACCCAGUCUGUGCCCUUGCCGAUGGGUAGGACUCUGGGUCAAAUGCCAAAUAAACGUGAACCCCUAGGAAAGUUCUUAAGCCCAUGA